rnacentral:rRNA from 1 species
UACGUAGGGGGUAAGCGUUGUCCGGAAUCAUUGGGCGUAAAGAGCGUGUAGGCGGCCCGAUAAGUCCGCCGUGAAAGUCCAGGGCUCAACCCUGGAAUGCCGGUGGAAACUGUCGGGCUGGAGUCCGGAAGAGGCGAGUGGAAUUCCUGGUGUAGCGGUGAAAUGCGCAGAUAUCAGGAGGAACACCAAUGGCGAAGGCAGCUCGCUGGGACGGUACUGACGCUGAGACGCGAAAGCGUGGGGAGCAAACAGG